rnacentral:miRNA from 1 species
GACGUCGAUAUUCGACGUCAUAAACACGAGCAAGUUUGGUGUUUAUGACGUCGAUAUUCGACGUCAUAAACACGAGCAAGUUUGGUGUUUAUGACGUCGACAUUCGACGUCAUAAACACGAGCAACUUUGGUGUUUAUGACGCCGAAUAUCGACGUCAUAAACACGAGCAAGUUUGGUGUUUAUGACGUCGUUUUUCGACGUCAUAAACACGAGCAACUUUGGUGUUUAUGACGUCGAUUUUCGACGUC